GAUGAACGCUGGCGGCGUGCCUAAUACAUGCAAGUCGAGCGAACGGACGAGAAGCUUGCCUCUCUGAUGUUAGCGGCGGACGGGUGAGUAACACGUGGAUAACCUACCUAUAAGACUGGGAUAACUUCGGGAAACCGGAGCUAAUACCGGAUGAUAUUUUGAACCGCAUGGUUCAAAAGUGAAAGACGGUCUUGCUGUCACUUAUAGAUGGAUCCGCGCUGCAUUAGCUAGUUGGUAAGGUAACGGCUUACCAAGGCAACGAUGCAUAGCCGACCUGAGAGGGUGAUCGGCCACACUGGAACUGAGACACGGUCCAGACUCCUACGGGAGGCAGCAGUAGGGAAUCUUCCGCAAAGGGCGAAAGCCUGACGGAGCAACGCCGCGUGAGUGAUGAAGGUCUUCGGAUCGUAAAACUCUGUUAUUAGGGAAGAACAUAUGUGUAAGUAACUGUGCACAUCUUGACGGUACCUAAUCAGAAAGCCACGGCUAACUACGUG
rnacentral:rRNA from 1 species